UACGUAGGUGGCGAGCGUUGUCCGGAUUUACUGGGCGUAAAGGGAGCGUAGGCGGACUUUUAAGUGAUAUGUGAAAUACCCGGGCUCAACUUGGGUGCUGCAUUUCAAACUGGAAGUCUAGAGUGCAGGAGAGGAGAAUGGAAUUCCUAGUGUAGCGGUGAAAUGCGUAGAGAUUAGGAAGAACACCAGUGGCGAAGGCGAUUCUCUGGACUGUAACUGACGCUGAGGCUCGAAAGCGUGGGGAGCAAACAGGAUUAGAUA
rnacentral:rRNA from 1 species